GACCGCACGGGAUAUAGAUUAUCCCGUGCGAUCGAGUUAAAUCAACCGCACGGGAUAAUCUAUUAUCCCGUGCGGUU
rnacentral:pre_miRNA from 11 species